UCAGGAUGAACGCUGGCGGCGUGCCUAAUACAUGCAAGUCGAGCGAACUGAUUAGAAGCUUGCUUCUAUGACGUUAGCGGCGGACGGGUGAGUAACACGUGGGCAACCUGCCUGUAAGACUGGGAUAAUUUCGGGAAACCGAAGCUAAUACCGGAUAGGAUCUUCUCCUUCAUGGGAGAUGAUUGAAAGAUGGUUUCGGCUAUCACUUACAGAUGGGCCCGCGGUGCAUUAGCUAGUUGGUGAGGUAACGGCUCACCAAGGCAACGAUGCAUAGCCGACCUGAGAGGGUGAUCGGCCACACUGGGACUGAGACACGGCCCAGACUCUUACGGGAGGCACCAGUAGGGAAUCUUCCGCAAUGGACGAAAGUCUGACGGAGCAACGCCGCGUGAGUGAUGAAGGCUUUCGGGUCGUAAAACUCUGUUGUUAGGGAAGAACAAGUACGAGAGUAACUGCUCGACCUUGACGGACC
rnacentral:rRNA from 1 species